UACGGAGGGUCCAAGCGUUGUUCGGAAUUACUGGGCGUAAAGCGCACGUAGGCGGGCGGAUAAGUCAGAUGUGAAAGCCCCGGGCUUAAACCGGGAAUUGCAUUUGAAACUGUAUGUCUUGAAUGCUUGAGAGGAUGACGGAAUUCCUGGUGUAGAAGUGAAAUUCGUAGAUAUCAGGAGGAACACCGGAGGCGAAGGCGGUUGUCUGGCGAUGCAUUGACGCUGAGGUGCGAAAGCGUGGGGAGCAAACAGG
rnacentral:rRNA from 1 species